CAGGGAUGAAGGCAAGCUGUCCCCUAGCUGAUCAGCUGGUUGGUGAGGACUCUUCACGAAGUCAGGGACCAUUGUGAAGUUGGAAGAAUGCCCACAAAAUCCAGCUUGAAACCUGCUGGCUCUGAGGGUCCUGCUGGCUCAGCAGUGCUGGUAACCAAGAAGUAUCGCAGGCCCAGGAUAACUCAGCACUCAUGAUCAGCUGUCAAGCUAUAACAGAGUGUUGAGGCCGCCCCUGAAACCACAGGGCCAUUUUGUAGGAACUAAGAAGCCAACCUCAAGGAAUCACUCGCCCCAAGAAGACUUUGUUCUGAUCUGAUGUGUUUCUAGCCUGGUGGAGCCUCAGCUAUCCAAAGGAAGAGCUGUUAAGAUGAUUGGAAUUUUGGUUUUUCCGAUUCACUCUUUUUUCUCUCCAGCAAUCUGCCUUAGACAGCAGGAGAAAAGGAAACUUAGCCUCAGAGGUGGGGUCCUUCGGAAGGACUGACAGUGGGCUAGCUCUCCUGCUGCUGGGAGCCUGAGUGCCUUUGGCUCCUUGCCCAGAGCUCAGCUUUACCACGGAGGUUACCUGCUUACCAUCAACAUCGAAACUUGCCUCUUCCCCUGGGUGUAUUCUCCCUCUUUUGUGGACAGUUUGGUUCCUCCAAACUGCUCUCCCUGUGAAGAAAGCCGAUGGAAUUCAGGGAGCCUGGCCAGCCACCCAGGCCUUUAUAAAGGUCCUCGUACCACAGGAUGUAUGGGAGACCCAAUAAAGACUUUGCAAAAUG
ensembl:lincRNA 1700008K24Rik RIKEN cDNA 1700008K24 gene